rnacentral:rRNA from 1 species
UGUUUCGGCAAGGGGGUCAUCCCGACUUACCAACCCGAUGCAAACUGCGAAUACCGGAGAAUGUUAUCACGGGAGACACACGGCGGGUGCUAACGUCCGUCGUGAAGAGGGAAACAACCCAGACCGCCAGCUAAGGUCCCAAAGUCAUGGUUAAGUGGGAAACGAUGUGGGAAGGCCCAGACAGCCAGGAUGUUGGCUUAGAAGCAGCCAUCAUUUAAAGAAAGCGUAAUAGCUCACUGGUCGAGUCGGCCUGCGCGGAAGAUGUAACGGGGCUAAACCAUGCACCGAAGCUGCGGCAGCGACGCUUAUGCGUUGUUGGGUAGGGGAGCGUUCUGUAAGCCUGUGAAGGUGUGCUGUGAGGCAUGCUGGAGGUAUCAGAAGUGCGAAUGCUGACAUAAGUAACGAUAAAGCGGGUGAAAAGCCCGCUCGCCGGAAGACCAAGGGUUCCUGUCCAACGUUAAUCGGGGCAGGGUGAGUCGACCCCUAAGGCGAGGCCGAAAGGCGUAGUCGAUGGGAAACAGGUUAAUAUUCCUGUACUUGGUGUUACUGCGAAGGGGGGACGGAGAAGGCUAUGUUGGCCGGGCGACGGUUGUCCCGGUUUAAGCGUGUAGGCUGGUUUUCCAGGCAAAUCCGGAAAAUCAAGGCUGAGGCGUGAUGACGAGGCACUACGGUGCUGAAGCAACAAAUGCCCUGCUUCCAGGAAAAGCCUCUAAGCAUCAGGUAACAUCAAAUCGUACCCCAAACCGACACAGGUGGUCAGGUAGAGAAUACCAAGGCGCUUGAGAGAACUCGGGUGAAGGAACUAGGCAAAAUGGUGCCGUAACUUCGGGAGAAGGCACGCUGAUAUGUAGGUGAAGUCCCUCGCGGAUGGAGCUGAAAUCAGUCGAAGAUACCAGCUGGCUGCAACUGUUUAUUAAAAACACAGCACUGUGCAAACACGAAAGUGGACGUAUACGGUGUGACGCCUGCCCGGUGCCGGAAGGUUAAUUGAUGGGGUCAGCGCAAGCGAAGCUCUUGAUCGAAGCCCCGGUAAACGGCGGCCGUAACUAUAACGGUCCUAAGGUAGCGAAAUUCCUUGUCGGGUAAGUUCCGACCUGCACGAAUGGCGUAAUGAUGGCCAGGCUGUCUCCACCCGAGACUCAGUGAAAUUGAACUCGCUGUGAAGAUGC